ACACCAGUAGCGAAGCCGGUUUCCUGGCCACAUACUGACACUGAGGCUCGAAAGCGUGGGGAGCAAACAGGAUUAGAUACCCUGGUAGUCCACGCCGUAAUACGAUGGGCACUAGAUAUCGGGGAAUUCAUCUUCUUCGAUGUCGCAGUUAACGCGAUAAGUGCCCGGCCUGGGGAGUACGCUCGCAAGGGUGAAACUCAAAGGAAUUGACGGGGGCCCGCACAAGCGGUGGAGCAUGCGCUUUAAUUCGAUGCACGUCGAAGAACCUGACCUGGGCUUGACAUGGGAGUGAAACUUCCCAGAGAUGGGAAGCCGUCCUUAGGGAACACUCUACACAGAUACUGCAUGGUGGUAGUCAGUUCGCCUCGUGAGAUGAUGGGUUAAGUCCCGCAACCGAGUGCUACCUUCGCCGGUUAUCGGCCAUCAGGGAAUUCCUGCAACUCUAGGGGGUCCGCCUGGAACAAUCCAGGAGGAAGUUGGGGAUGAUGUCAAAUCACUCAUGGCUCUGACGUCCAUGGGCAUAGACGCGUGCUACUAUGGUCGGUACAGAAGGAUGCCAAGUCGCGAGACCGAGCUAAUCCAGUAUACCGGCGUCAGUUCGGAAUUUGGAGAUAGCCAAUUCGACUCCAUGAAGAUGGAAUCGGUAGUAAUCCCGGAUCAGCUAUUCCGCGGUGCAUAUGUUCCCGGGCGAUUGUACUACACCGCCCGUCAAGCCGCGACAGAUGGGAGUGCCCGAACUCG
rnacentral:rRNA from 1 species